AAGAAUAGAUGCAUAAACUUUUAGCAGGAUUUCGAAUCCUAAUUUAUAUAAGUUUUG
rnacentral:tRNA from 1 species